rnacentral:rRNA from 1 species
UGUGUAGGCGGUUUGAUAAGUUGGAUGUGAAAGCUCCUGGCUUAACUGGGAGAGGUCGUUCAAAACUAUCAGACUUGAGAGUGGUAGAGGGAGGUGGAAUUCCGGGUGUAGUGGUGAAAUGCGUAGAUAUCCGGAGGAACACCAGUGGCGAAAGCGGCCUCCUGGCCCAUUUCUGACGCUCAGACACGAAAGCUAAGAUAGCAAACG